rnacentral:tRNA from 11 species
GCGGAAGUAGUUCAGUGGUAGAACACGACCUUGCCAUGGUCGGGGUCGCGGGUUCGAAUCCCGUCUUCCGCUCCA